AACGCGUGAGGAACCUGCCUCAAAGAGGGGGACAACNGUUGGAAACGACUGCUAAUACCGCAUAAGCCCACGGCUCGGCAUCGAGCAGAGGGAAAAGGAGCAAUCCGCUUUGAGAUGGCCUCGCGUCCGAUUAGCUAGUUGGUGAGGUAACGGCCCACCAAGGCAACGAUCGGUAGCCGGACUGAGAGGUUGAACGGCCACAUUGGGACUGAGACACGGCCCAGACUCCUACGGGAGGCAGCAGUGGGGAAUAUUGCACAAUGGGGGAAACCCUGAUGCAGCGACGCCGCGUGGAGGAAGAAGGUCUUCGGAUUGUAAACUCCUGUUGUUGAGGAAGAUAAUGACGGUACUCAACAAGGAAGUGACGGCUAACUACGUGCCAGCAGCCGCGGUAAAACGUAGGUCACAAGCGUUGUCCGGAAUUACUGGGUGUAAAGGGAGCGCAGGCGGGAGAACAAGUUGGAAGUGAAAUCCAUGGGCUCAACCCAUGAACUGCUUUCAAAACUGUUUUUCUUGAGUAGUGCAGAGGUAGGCGGAAUUCCCGGUGUAGCGGUGGAAUGCGUAGAUAUCGGGAGGAACACCAGUGGCGAAGGCGGCCUACUGGGCACCAACUGACGCUGAGGCUCGAAAGUGUGGGUAGCAAACAGGAUUAGAUACCCUGGUAGUCCACACCGUAAACGAUGAUUACUAGGUGU
rnacentral:rRNA from 1 species